rnacentral:rRNA from 1 species
AUUGAACGCUGGCGGCAGGCCUAACACAUGCAAGUCGAGCGGAGCGGCGGACGGGUGAGUAAUGCCUAGGAAUCUGCCUGGUAGUGGGGGAUAACGUCCGGAAACGGGCGCCAAUACCGCAUACUAACAGAUGAGCAUAGGUCGGAUUAGAUAGUUGGUGGGGUAAAGGCCUACAAAGGCGACGAUCAGUAACUGGUCUGCGAGGAUGAUCAGUCAAACUGGAACGGAGCCACGGUCCAGACUCCUACGUGAGGCAGCAGUGGGGAUUUUUGGACAAUGGGCUAAAGCCUGUUCCAGCCAUGCCGCGUGUGUGAAGAAGGUCUUCGGAUUGUAAAGCACUUUGAGUUUGGAGGCGUUACCAACAGACUAAGCACCGGCUAACUUCGUGCCAGCAGCCGCGGUAAUAC